rnacentral:rRNA from 1 species
UACGGGGGGGGCAAGCGUUGUUCGGAAUUACUGGGCGUAAAGGGCUCGUAGGCGGCCAACUAAGUCAGACGUGAAAUCCCCGGGCUUAACCUGGGAACUGCAUUUGUGACUGGCAAGCUAGAGUAUGGCAGAGGGGGGUAGAAUUCCACGUGUAGCAGUGAAAUGCGUAGAGAUGUGGAGGAAUACCGAUGGCGAAGGCAGCCCCCUGGGCCAAUACUGACGCUCAU